AGAGUUUGAUCCUGGCUCAGAGUGAACGCUGGCGGUAGGCCUAACACAUGCAAGUCGAACGGCAGCACAGGAGAGCUUGCUCUCUGGGUGGCGAGUGGCGGACGGGUGAGGAAUACAUCGGAAUCUACCUUUUCGUGGGGGAUAACGCUCGGAAACGGACGCUAAUACCGCAUACGUCCUACGGGAGAAAGCAGGGGACCUUCGGGCCUUGCGCUAUCAGAUGAGCCUAGGUCGGAUUAGCUAGUUGGUGAGGUAAUGGCUCACCAAGGCGACGAUCCGUAACUGGUCUGAGAGGAUGAUCAGUCACACUGGAACUGAGACACGGUCCAGACUCCUACGGGAGGCAGCAGUGGGGAAUAUUGGACAAUGGGCGAAAGCCUGAUCCAGCCAUGCCGCGUGUGUGAAGAAGGUCUUCGGAUUGUAAAGCACUUUAAGUUGGGAGGAAGGGCAUUAACCUAAUACGUUAGUGUUUUGACGUUACCGACAGAAUAAGCACCGGCUAACUCUGUGCCAGCAGCCGCGGUAAUACAGAGGGUGCAAGCGUUAAUCGGAAUUACUGGGCGUAAAGCGCGCGUAGGUGGUUAGUUAAGUUGGAUGUGAAAUCCCCGGGCUCAACCUGUGGACUGCAUUCAAAACUGACUGACUAGAGUAU
rnacentral:rRNA from 1 species